CUUCAAACAAGGAUGGCGGAAAUUUUUCGCAUUCCUUAUUCUGUAUCUCGUCCUGUUUUCCCUUGUCUUUUCGGUCAACUCUUUCGUUGUUUCGUAAAGCCAGAUCUGACACUAUAAAUGACAAGCCUCAAGUUCUUUCCGUGUGUAAUUUUGUCUACUCAUACUAAGAAGGGAUUGGAAAAUCGGAAAAGGAAAUAAUCGCAGAGAUCUGAAAGAUGGAUUCCGAAUAUUCAACAACAAAACAGUCAAUUAUGUCUGUGGUAGGCAAUUUGCGACAUCAAAACAGGAGGGAGAACUGUCCAUCUGUAUCUGUAUGUAGCCAAAACAAAGGAAAGAUAUUCAACGAUCCUCCACGUUUGCCUAGGAGCAAUAAACCAUCUACAGACCGCGUUGCAUCAAAUCGAAAUAAUAAACGAAGAAAUAACUAUAAUAAUCGAUCACCAAACCAAAUUCGUCAGGAUCGACCAAUCCCGCCUCCAUCAUUUAGCAAUUAUAAUUCAUAUUCAAAUUAUGAGGUGACACCGACAUGUUCGGCAGGUGAUCCUCCGGCAUCAAGGUCCGACAAUUUCUAUUCCGUGAUUCCUUUUAUCAUUGUCUUCUUUUUUAUCGUCUUCAAGUUCUUUAUGUAGAAAUUUACAUUUUACUUUUCGCAUGAACUGUUGCUUUUAUUUAGAAAUAAAUAAAGUACUGUAGCCCCACACUAGAGGACGAGGGCAGUU